rnacentral:rRNA from 1 species
GAUGAACGCUAGCUACAGGCUUAACACAUGCAAGUCGAGGGGUAACGAGAGGAAAGCUUGCUUUCCUUGUCGACGACCGGCGCACGGGUGAGUAACGCGUAUCCAACCUGCCCCCAACUAGGGAAUAACCUUGCGAAAGUAAGACUAAUACCCUAUAAUUUCCUCAGAUGUCAUCUGACGAGGAAUAAAGAUUUAUCGGUUGUGGAUGGGGAUGCGUCUGAUUAGCUUGUUGGCGGGGUAACGGCCCACCAAGGCAACGAUCAGUAGGGGUUAUGAGAGGAAGGUCCCCCACAUUGGAAUUGAGACACGGUCCAAACUCCUACGGGAGGCAGCAGUGAGGAAUAUUGGUCAAUGGGCGGAAGCCUGAACCAGCCAAGUAGCGUGCAGGAUGACGGCCCUAUGGGUUGUAAACUGCUUUUAUACAGGAAUAAAGUUAGCCACGUGUGGUUAUUUGUAGGUACUGUAUGAAUAAGGACCGGCUAAUUCCGUGCCAGCAGCCGCCGUAA